CCCGGCACAAGCGGUGGAGCAUGUGGUUUAAUUCGAUGCAACGCGAAGAACCUUACCUGGGCUUGACAUCCCGGGAAUCCCUUGGAAACAAGGGAGCGCCCUUCGGGGAACCUGGAGACAGGUGCUGCAUGGCUGUCGUCAGCUCGUGUCGUGAGAUGUAGGGUUAAGUCCCGCAACGAGCGCAACCCUUGUCUUUAAUUGCCAUCAUUGAGUUGGGCACUUUAAAGAGACUGCCGGUGUUAAACCGGAGGAAGGUGGGGAUGACGUCAAGUCCUCAUGGCCUUUAUGCCCAGGGCUACACACGUGCUACAAUGGGUGGUACAAAGAGCAGCCAGCUCGCGAGAGUGAGCAAAUCUCAAAAAGCCAUCCUCAGUUCGGAUUGCAGGCUGCAACUCGCCUGCAUGAAGUCGGAGUUGCUAGUAAUCGCGGAUCAGAAUGCCGCGGUGAAUGCGUUCCCGGGUCUU
rnacentral:rRNA from 1 species